GUCCACGCACUAAACGGUGCACACUAGGUCUUGGCGGAUUCGACCCCACCAGGGCACAAGCUAACGCGUUAAGUGUGCCGCCUGAGGACUACGGCCGCAAGGCUAAAACUCAAAGGAAUUGACGGGGGCCCGCACAAGCGGUGGAGCAUGUGGCUUAAUUCGAUGCAACGCGAAGAACCUUACCAGGCCUUGACAUGCACUAGACCGGCGCUGAAAGGCGCCUUUCCUUCGGGACUAGUGCACAGGUGCUGCAUGGCUGUCGU
rnacentral:rRNA from 1 species